rnacentral:rRNA from 1 species
AGUCGACGCGCAGCGAAAGGUGCUUGCACCUUUCAAGCGAGUGGCGAACGGGUGAGUAACACGUGGAUAACCUGCCUCAAGGCUGGGGAUAACAUUUGGAAACAGAUGCUAAUACCGAAUAAAACUUAGUAUCGCAUGAUACAAAGUUGAAAGGCGCUACGGCGUCACCUAGAGAUGGGUCCGCGGUGCAUUAGUUAGUUGGUGGGGUAAAGGCCUACCAAGACAAUGAUGCAUAGCCGAGUUGAGAGACUGAUCGGCCACAUUGGGACUGAGACACGGCCCAAACUCCUACGGGAGGCUGCAGUAGGGAAUCUUCCACAAUGGGCGAAAGCCUGAUGGAGCAACGCCGCGUGUGUGAUGAAGGCUUUAGGGUCGUAAAGCACUGUUGUAUGGGAAGAAAUGCUAGAAUAGGGAAUGAUUCUAGUUCGACGGUACCAUACCAGAAAGGGACGGCUAAAUACGUGCCAGCAGCCGCGGUAAUACGUAUGUCCCGAGCGUUAUCCGGAUUUAUUGGGCGUAAAGCGAGCGCAGACGGUUGAUUAAGUCUGAUGUGAAAGCCCGGAGCUCAACUCCGGAAUGGCAUUGGAAACUGGUUAACUUGAGUGUUGUAGAGGUAAGUGGAACUCCAUGUGUAGCGGUGGAAUGCGUAGAUAUAUGGAAGAACACCAGUGGCGAAGGCGGCUUACUGGACAACAACUGACGUUGAGGCUCGAAAGUGUGGGUAGCAAACAGGAUUAGAUACCCUGGUAGUCCACACCGUAAACGAUGAAUACUAGGUGUUAGGAGGUUUCCGCCUCUUA